rnacentral:rRNA from 1 species
UUGGAGGGCAAGUCUGGUGCCAGCAGCCGCGGUAAUUCCAGCUCCAAUAGCGUAUAUUAAAGUUGUUGCAGUUAAAAAGCUCGUAGUUGAACUUCGGGGUCUACCCAUUGGUCAGGCUUAAUUGUCUGCACUGGUGAGAUGGAUCUCUACCUUCUGAGGAACUUUCAUGCCAUUUAUUUGGUGUGAUGGGAAAUCAGGACUGUUACUUUGAAAAAAUUAGAGUGUUUAAAGCAGACUAUCGUCUGAAUACAUUAGCAUGGAAUAAUGAAAUAGGACGGACUGAUUCUAUUUCGUUGGUUUCUAGGAUCACCGUAAUGAUUAAUAGGGAUAGUUGGGGGCAUUAGUAUUCAAUUGUCAGAGGUGAAAUUCUUGGAUUUAUUGAAGACUAACUACUGCGAAAGCAUUUGCCAAGGAUGUUUUCAUUAAUCAAGAACGGAAGUUAGGGGAUCGAAGACGAUCAGAUACCGUCGUAGUCUUAACCAUAAACUAUGCCGACUAGGGAUCGGACGAAGUUAAUUUUAUAAUGACGCGUUCGGCGCCUUACGGGAAAC